CCAUUUGCAUAAUUCAUAUUACUUUCUCUCAUUGACAUAGCUUCUCUCUUCAAUCCACAGGCUCUUGAGGGUUUUCCUGCUGUUCUUGACCAGAGUUACCGGUGAGUGCUUGCCCAGUGCCCACUUUCUUUCAUCGUCUCCACAGUAAAAUUUUACAUUGAAUUUCUUUCUUUUUUGUGCUUCCCUACACAGGUACAUGGUUAACAAGUUAUUUGUUGAAAUUACUCUAUUUUGUGUUUUCCUUUUGCUUUAAUGCUGUUGCUACCAGUUUUCUGAUUUCAUCUUGCUAUUGAAUUACUAAUUUACACCAAGAAUUGGUUUCAUUAUAUCACAUUUUAUCUUUCCUCUUCCUCUCUCUUUCUUACUGCUACGGGGUCAGUGUUUCAUAUGAUGAGAGGAGGUAUCUAGUUGAAAGAUACUCGAGGGAUAAUGUGUAUUUCAGAGGUUCCUACCACAUAGAUUUUCUGGAGAGGGAGAACCAAUCCGCUCCGCCUGCAGCUUCUGGUAUCUGGUCUCAAUCAAGGAGGACAACUUAUGAGGAAGAAUAUCCCCACAAUCGGGAUUCUAGGCGUCACCAGAAGCCUUAUGCUGAUUCUUAUAGUGACAUGGAUACAUUUCGUGAUCACGAGAUCACUCAAUUUCAAGAUUUUGAUAAGUUUCGGGAUGGAUAUCAUGGUGUUGACAACUUUCGCAAUCAUGAAUUUGACAGGUCCUCUAAGUUUGGGGGACGAGAAAGAGAUAGCUCAUAUGAUGAUUAUGACUAUAGGCCACGCAUUUCCCAUCAGAGCAGGGACACAACAACAGUGAGAGGGAUUAUGAAUAUGGCCGACAUAGUUAUGAUUCUGAUUAUGAAAGAGGCAGUCAGAGAGAGGGCAAUUGGAGGAAGCGUGAAUCGCCUGAUCGAGAUCGCUUGAGUAGAGAGAGAGAUCAGAGUCCACAUAAAACACAUGAGAGAUCUCGAUCACGGUCACAUGGACGUGAUGAUUGUCCUAGAUCAAGGUCACCUCGAGGUCGAAACCAUGGACGAAGCCAUCGUGAGGAUAGCUAUGAUGAUGAUCGGAAUGAUAAGACUUAGAGGCGAAGGGACCGUGAAGAGAAAUAUCAACGUGAACAUUAUUCCGUGGCACCAUCUACAACAAUUGUUGUGAAGGGUCUCUCACAAAAAACAACCGAAGAAGAUCUAUACCAGAUUCUUGCUGAAUGGGGACCACUAUGCCAUGUCCGAGUCAUUAAAGAGCGACAUUCUGGAAUUUUUCUUGGAUUUGCUUUUAUUGAUUUUCCUUCUGUGGGGGCAGCAAGCACUAUGAUGGAGAGGAUUGGUGAUGAUGGUCUUGUUGAUGGUCGGAAGUUUUUCUUCGAGUACAGUAGUAAGCCAACUGGAAGCACUGGUGGACCUUUUGGUAAUGAUAAUGCCAUGAAGUUGGGCCAUUCGAAUCAUAGGGGCAUCACAGUACCUUGUGACUGGAUGUGCACCAUAUGUGGAUGUGUCAAUUUUGCACGACGAACUUCAUGU